rnacentral:rRNA from 1 species
AAUAUUGGACAAUGGGCGAAAGCCUGAUCCAGCCAUGCCGCGUGAGUGAUGAAGGCCCUAGGGUUGUAAAGCUCUUUCGCAAGGGAAGAAAACUUACCUUCUAAUAAAGGGUGAGGCUGACGGUACCUUGAUAAGAAGCACCGGCUAACUACGUGCCAGCAGCCGCGGUAAUACGUAGGGUGCGAGCGUUAAUCGGAAUUACUGGGCGUAAAGCGUGCGCAGGCGGUUUUGUAAGUCAGAUGUGAAAGCCCCGGGCUCAACCUGGGAACUGCGUUUGAAACUGCAAGGCUAGAGUGUAGGAGAGGGGGGUAGAAUUCCACGUGUAGCAGUGAAAUGCGUAGAGAUGUGGAGGAAUACCAAUGGCGAAGGCAGCCCCCUGGCCUAACACUGACGCUCAUGCACAAAAGCGUGGGGAGCAAAC